AUUGAACGCUGGCGGCAGGCCUAACACAUGCAAGUCGAGCGGAGCGGCGGACGGGUGAGUAAUGCCUAGGAAUCGGCCUGGUAGUGGGGGAUGGCUUCCGGCAAAGGGCGCUAAUACCGCAUACUAGCAGAUGAGCCUAGUCGUGAGUGGCUAGUUGGUGGGGUAAAGGCUUACCUAGGCGACGAUCCGUAACUGGUCUGAGAGGAUGAUCAGUCACACUGGAACUGAGACACGGUCCAGACUCCUACGGGAGGCAGCAGUGGGGAAUAUUGCACAAUGGGCGAAAGCCUGAUCCAGCCAUGCCGCGUGUGUGAAGAAGGUCUUCGGAUUGUAAAGCACUUUAAGUUGGGAGGCGUUACCAACAGAAUAAGCACCGGCUAACUCCGUGCCAGCAGCCGCGGUAAUUC
rnacentral:rRNA from 1 species